rnacentral:rRNA from 1 species
GACGAACGUUGGCGGCGUGCUUAACACAUGCAAGUCGAACGGAAAGGCCCUGCUUUUGUGGGGUGCUCGAGUGGCGAACGGGUGAGUAACACGUGAGUAACCUGCCCUUGACUUCGGGAUAACUUCAGGAAACUGGGGCUAAUACCGGAUAGGAGCUCCUGCUGCAUGGUGGGGGUUGGAAAGUUUCGGCGGUUGGGGAUGGACUCGCGGCUUAUCAGCUUGUUGGUGGGGUAGUGGCUUACCAAGGCUUUGACGGGUAGCCGGCCUGAGAGGGUGACCGGCCACAUUGGGACUGAGAUACGGCCCAGACUCCUACGGGAGGCAGCAGUGGGGAAUAUUGCACAAUGGGCGGAAGCCUGAUGCAGCAACGCCGCGUGCGGGAUGACGGCCUUCGGGUUGUAAACCGCUUUCGCCUGUGACGAAGCGUGAGUGACGGUAAUGGGUAAAGAAGCGCCGGCUAACUACGUGCCAGCAGCCGCGGUGAUACGUAGGGUGCGAGCGUUGUCCGGAUUUAUUGGGCGUAAAGGGCUCGUAGGUGGUUGAUCGCGUCGGAAGUGUAAUCUUGGGGCUUAACCCUGAGCGUGCUUUCGAUACGGGUUGACUUGAGGAAGGUAGGGGAGAAUGGAAUUCCUGGUGGAGCGGUGGAAUGCGCAGAUAUCAGGAGGAACACCAGUGGCGAAGGCGGUUCUCUGGGCCUUUCCUGACGCUGAGGAGCAAAAGCGUGGGGAGCGAACAGGCUUAGAUACCCUGGUAGUCCACGCUGUAAACGGUGGGUACUAGGUGUGGGGUCCAUUCCACGGGUUCCGUGCCGUAGCUAACGCUUUAAGUACCCCGCCUGGGGAGUACGGCCGCAAGGCUAAAACUCAAAGGAAUUGACGGGGCCCCGCACAAGCGGCGGAGCAUGCGGAUUAAUUCGAUGCAACGCGUAGAACCUUACCUGGGUUUGACAUGGAUCGGGAGUGCUCAGAGAUGGGUGUGCCUCUUUUGGGGUCGGUUCACAGGUGGUGCAUGCCUGUCGUCAGCUCGUGUCGUGAGAUGUUGGGUUAAGUCCCGCAACGAGCGCAACCCUUGUUCACUGUUGCCAGCACGUUAUGGUGGGGACUCAGUGGAGACCGCCGGGGUCAACUCGGAGGAAGGUGGGGAUGACGUCAAGUCAUCAUGCCCCUUAUGUCCAGGGCUUCACGCAUGCUACAAUGGCUGGUACAGAGAGUGGCGAGCCUGUGAGGGUGAGCGAAUCUCGGAAAGCCGGUCUCAGUUCGGAUUGGGGUCUGCAACUCGACCUCAUGAAGUCGGAGUCGCUAGUAAUCGCAGAUCAGCAACGCUGCGGUGAAUACGUUCCCGGG